rnacentral:rRNA from 1 species
GCAGAGAUUUAAACUCUUACCUUUUGCAUCAUGGUUUAGCCAGUACAUUCAAGCAAAGCGCACUUUAGUCUGAAACCCCGAAACUAGCGCGAGCUACUCCAAGACAGCCUGUUAUUAGGGCAAACCCGUCUCUGUGGCAAUAGAGUGGGAAGAGCUUCGAGUAGAGGUGAUAUACCUAUCGAGCCUAGUGAUAGCUGGUUGCCUGGAAAAUGGAUAAGAGUUCAGCCUUAGAACUUCUUUCUAAGUCCAAAGAGUUAAUCAAAGGGGGCACAGCUCCUUUGAUAAAAGACACAACUUUACCAGAAGGAUAAGGAUCAAACACAAUGAAGGAUUGUAUACAUGUGGGCCUAUAAGCAGCCACCCAAACAGAAAGCGUUACAGCUCAACCCAAAAAUCCUGAUAACCUAUUCCAACUCCUCUGAUAUUUUACCAGGCCUCCCCAUGCACACAUGGGAGAGAUAAUGCUAAAAUGAGUAAUAAGAGGCACCCCUCUCCCAGCACAAGUGUAAAUCGAAAUGGAUAAACCACCGAAACUUAACGGACCCAGCCCAGGAGGGAAUUGGACUAAAAUUAGAAAUACAACCACCGUUAACCCUACACCGGAGUGCUAAAGGAAAGACUAAAAGGAAAAGAAGGAACUCGGCAAACAAGCCUCGCCUGUUUACCAAAAACAUCACCUCUUGCUCGAAUAAGAGGCCCCGCCUGCCCUGUGACUGUAUGUUUAACGGCCGCGGUAUCAUGACCGUGCAAAGGUAGCGCAAUCACUUGUCUUUUAAAUGAAGACCUGUAUGAAUGGCAUAACGAGGGCUUAACUGUCUCCUUUUCCAGGUCAAUGAAAUUGAUCCCCCCGUGCAGAAGCGGGGAUGAAUACAUAAGACGAGAAGACCCUGUGGAGCUUUAGACACCUGAGUAGCUCUUUAUCAAGUACCCCCUCUUAAGGGGGAACAAUCCUAAGACCCCUACUCAAUGUCUUCGGUUGGGGCGACCAUGGAGUAAAAAAAACCCUCCACGCGGAAUGACAGUAUUACCAAAAUCAAGGGCCCCCGCCCUAAUUAUCAGAACCUCUGACCGCACAGAUCCGGCAAAGCCGAGUAACGAACUAAGUUACCCCAGGGAUAACAGCGCAAUCUCCUUCCCGAGACCCUAUCAAAAAGGAGGUUUACGACCUCGAUGUUGGAUCAGGACAUCCUAAUGGUGCAG